GCUAGCGUCCGCAGCGCCAGUCAACUCACACCCGUGAGCAGGGAACCCGGUGCGAAUCCGGGACUGACGCGCAGCGGUAAGGGUGACGGGCGGGGCACUGAGCAAUCAGGGCAAGCCACUGGAUCGGCACGACGUGAUCCGGGAAGGCGCUCCGUCCGGCCGAUCCCGAGUCCGAAGACCUGCUGGCCGUGGACCCCUGGG
rnacentral:ncRNA from 1 species